GCCAACGUAGCUCAGCUGGUAGAGCAGCUCACUCGUAAUGAGCAGGUCGUCCGUUCAAAUCGGAUCGUCGGCUCCA
rnacentral:tRNA from 1 species